GACGAACCACACGAACGUUUAUUCGGAAUUACUGGGCUUAAAGGGUGCGUAGGCGGCGCAGAAAGUUGGGUGUGAAAUCCCUCGGCUCAACCGAGGAACUGCGCCCAAAACUACUGUGCUUGAGGAAGAUAGAGGUAAGCGGAACUUACGGUGGAGCGGUGAAAUGCGUUGAUAUCGUAAGGAACACCUGUGGCGAAAGCGGCUUACUGGGUCUUUUCUGACGCUGAUGCACGAAAGCCAGGGGAGCAAACGGG
rnacentral:rRNA from 1 species